GUCAUUUGGCUGUCCCUUUUCUCCUUCCUCGCACAACCCUGUAUCAGUGGGGCAGCACUUCCUUCUCAGACCGCUUGUCCCAGGGUCCCUGCCUUCCCCUAGUGAAAGAAGCUCCUGCCUCCAUCGGUGGGCGUUGGGAGCAUCAGCGGAGAUGCACGCAAUGAUAAACAGCAGACAGGGCUGCUUGAGGAGAUGAGGCUCCAAAGUCCGGAGGUGCAGAAAGCCAGGACCAAGAGACAGGCAGCUCACCAGGGUGGACAAAUCGCCAGAGAUGUGGUGCAUUGUCCUGUUUUCACUUUUGGCAUGGGUUUAUGCUGAGCCUACCAUGUAUGGGGAGAUCCUGUCCCCUAACUAUCCUCAGGCAUAUCCCAGUGAGGUAGAGAAAUCUUGGGACAUAGAAGUUCCUGAAGGGUAUGGGAUUCACCUCUACUUCACCCAUCUGGACAUUGAGCUGUCAGAGAACUGUGCGUAUGACUCAGUGCAGAUAAUCUCAGGAGACACUGAAGAAGGGAGGCUCUGUGGACAGAGGAGCAGUAACAAUCCCCACUCUCCAAUUGUGGAAGAGUUCCAAGU
rnacentral:lncRNA from 1 species